CUGCUACUCACAGUGAACUGUUGCCCACUAGAUGCUCUGAACACACAGUUCAUGGCCCCUGUGACCUUCUGAGCAUUGAAGAUGCAUUCAAGCUUGGCCAGAAUAUGGCAAAGGCAAGGGGACUUGCCUCAAGGUACAGAAUUGAGAUGGCAUUGCAUGAAACACAGCCAUCGGCAUCUCUGUAGACACUGACUCACUUUCAGAAUUAUAGGUUCCAGGAUAUGGAAUAGAGGGGGAAGAAACCCAGGGAGAGCCCUUCUCAGGCAGAUGAAGCACUUUGAGUGCUGUUCUGGAAAGAGCCACUCCCACCAGCUAUAAAAUUUCACAAAUCCACAAAACAAACAAGUUGCCAUUCUGCAAAACCCUCAUACCUAUGGAAUCCUCAUUUCCUGCGAGGUGUGGAUUUCAGCUAUUUUUAACCUGGAUGUGUUCUGUGAUAUGUUUCCCACACAGCACAGAAACUGGCACAGCUGAGGGGCCGGGAGCCAGGAGGGCUGGCGCUCGGGACACCUCCUCCUGGUGCGCUGCCAAGGACGGUGGCCGUGUCCUGCGGCCAGGGCGGUGGCCCCGGGCACUCGGCAUCCGUCCUGCGGCUCGCCGACCCUCCCCUCGAGACCUACUUCUGCCGGGACAGGCAAGGCUUAAAAAUGCCUUGGACCUGCAAACUGAGCACAGUUGCUCCGUGGAAGGCAGGGAAUCACAGGUCUCCUGCUUCUGCCUUUCCCCUUCCUGCUAUUUCAUUCUGAUUGCUGGGACUGUAAAACCUCUGGAGCAGGCACUGUUUCCCAUUGUGAAGCUACUUUGUAAACCUUCCUAA
rnacentral:lncRNA from 1 species